GUUGCUAUGGAGCAGUCGGUUACCUCGUCUGUCUUACACACAGAAGAUCCCCAGUUCGAACCUGGGUAGCAACA